UACGUAGGGUGCAAGCGUUAUCCGGAAUUAUUGGGCGUAAAGAGCUCGUAGGCGGUUUGUCGCGUCUGCUGUGAAAACCCGAGGCUCAACCUCGGGCCUGCAGUGGGUACGGGCAGACUGGAGUGCGGUAGGGGAGAAUGGAAUUCCUGGUGUAGCGGUGGAAUGCGCAGAUAUCAGGAGGAACACCGAUGGCGAAGGCAGUUCUCUGGGCCGUAACUGACGCUGAGGAGCGAAAGCGUGGGGAGCGAACAGG
rnacentral:rRNA from 1 species